CCGCACAAGCGGCGGAGCAUGCGGAUUAAUUCGAUGCAACGCGAAGAACCUUACCAAGGCUUGACAUACACCGGUAACGCCCAGAGAUGGGUGCCCCUUUGUGGUCGGUGGACAGGUGGUGCAUGGUUGUCGUCAGCUCGUGUCGUGAGAUGUUGGGUUAAGUCCCGCAACGAGCGCAACCCUCGUCCUAUGUUGCCAGCGGGUCAUGCCGGGGACUCAUGGGAGACUGCCGGGGUCAACUCGGAGGAAGGUGGGGAUGACGUCAAAUCAUCAUGCCCCUUAUGUCUUGGGCUUCACGCAUGCUACAAUGGCCGGUACAAAGGGCUGCGAUACCGCGAGGUGGAGCGAAUCCCAGAAAGCCGGUCUCAGUUCGGAUUGGGGUCUGCAACUCGACCCCAUGAAGUCGGAGUCGCUAGUAAUCGCGGAUCAGCCAUGCCGCGGUGAAUACGUUCCCGGGCCUU
rnacentral:rRNA from 1 species